AACGAACGCUGGCGGCGUGCUUAACACAUGCAAGUCGAGUGCGCGUCCGUAGCAAUACGGAUGGCGCACGGCGCACGGGUGCGUAACACGUGGGCAAUCUGCCCUCCGAUGGGGAAUAACUCCGGGAAACCGAAGCUAAUUCCGCAUAACAUUCCUUGGACUCCGGUUCGGGGAUUCAAAGCAGCAAUGCGUCGGAGGAGGAGCCCGCGCCCGAUUAGCUAGUUGGUGAGGUAACGGCUCACCAAGGCUAUGAUCGGUAGCUGGUCUGAGAGGAUGGCCAGCCACACUGGAACUGAGACACGGUCCAGACUCCUACGGGAGGCAGCAGUGGGGAAUCUUGCGCAAUGGGCGAAAGCCUGACGCAGCGACGCCGCGUGGGGGAUGAAGCUUCUCGGAGUG
rnacentral:rRNA from 1 species